GUCAGGAUAGCUUAGUGGCAAGGGAGUUCGACUCUCAGCCGAAAGGUACUGAGUUCGAGCCCCAAUCAACCCUGGCA